rnacentral:rRNA from 1 species
AUUGAACGCUGGCGGCAUGCCUUACACAUGCAAGUCGAACGGCAGCACGGGUGCUUGCACCUGGUGGCGAGUGGCGAACGGGUGAGUAAUACAUCGGAACAUGUCCUGUAGUGGGGGAUAGCCCGGCGAAAGCCGGAUUAAUACCGCAUACGAUCUACGGAUGAAAGCGGGGGACCUUCGGGCCUCGCGCUAUAGGGUUGGCCGAUGGCUGAUUAGCUAGUUGGUGGGGUAAAGGCCUACCAAGGCGACGAUCAGUAGCUGGUCUGAGAGGACGACCAGCCACACUGGAACUGAGCCACGGCCCAGACUCCUACGGGAGGCAGCAGUGGGGAAUUUUGGACAAUGGGCGAAAGCCUGAUCCAGCAAUGCCGCGUGUGUGAAGAAGGCCUUCGGGUUGUAAAGCACUUUUGUCCGGAAAGAAAUACUUGGCCCUAAUACGGUCGGGGGAUGACGGUACCGGAAGAAUAAGCACCGGCUAACUACGUG